UAUCAUUCAUGGGUGGCAUGUUUCUAAAGUGAAAGGCGGCUUCUGCUGUCUGAUACGGAAGGGUCCAAGUCGCAAGUCGUAGGUGGAGAAGUAUCGGCUCGACAAGGCAGCGAUGCGUAUAAGACCUGAGAGGGUGAUCGAUGCACUAUGUGAUUGAAGAGCGUCAUCAGCUCCUACGGGAGGUCAGCAGUAGGGAAUCUUCCGCAAUGCAGGCAAAAUUGGGACGGAGCUAACCAAUGGGUUCGAUGUCGCGAUGAAGUCUUUCGGGUCGUAAAACUCGAUUGUUGCAGGUGAGUAGAACAAUAAAUAAGUUUUAUAAGGGGGCACCUUGGCGGUACCUAACCAAAAAAGCCCGGCUUACUUUGUUCCAGCCACCGCGGUUAAUCGUAGGGGGCAAGCGUUAUCUGGGGACCAUUAUUGGGGGUUAAGCGCGCGCUGGUGGGUUAUGUACCCCAAUAUCUCAACACAAGAUGUGGAAAUCCCCGGCUCUACCUGUGUGAGGGAUCCUUAAGGAGAUAACUGGGCAGCUUGAGUGCAGAAGAGGGAAGGGGGAUUUCACGGGGAGCGGUGGAACUGCUUGUAGAUAAUAAUGGAGCCGGACCCUCAGUGGGGAAGGGCGCCUUCUGGUCUCUUACUUUGAUUUCCGUGAGGCGCGAAAGCGUGGGGAGCCAACCGGAUUAGAUUCCCUGGUAGUUCCCCGCGUUAACGAUGAGUUGUUAACCCUACCCAACUU
rnacentral:rRNA from 1 species